ACUAAAUAGAUACCCGGGUAGUCCUGGCCCUAAACGAUGUCCACUAGAUCGCGGCGCCUUUGACGGCGUCGCGGUCGAAAGCAAAAAAGUGUUAAGUGGACCGCCUGGGAAGUACGGUCGCAAGGCUAAAACUCAAAGGAAUUGACGGGGGCUCACACAAGCGGUGGAGCAUGUGGUUCAAAUUCGAAGCAACGCGCAGAACCUUACCUGGGCUUGACAUGCUAGGAUUACCCUCGUGAAAGCGAGGUACGCCCCGCAAGGGGUGGAACUAGUACAGGUGCUGCAUGGCUGUCGUCAGCUCGUGUCGUGAGAUGUCGGGUUAAGUCCCUUAACGAGCGAAACCUUUACCCUUAGUUACCAGCGGGUUAUGCCGGGGACUCUAAGGGGACCGCCGGUGUCAAACCGGAGGAAGGUGGAGAUGACGUCAAGUCCUCAUGGCCUUUAUGCCCAGGGCCACACACGUGCUACAAUGGCGUUGAUAAAGCGACCCUAAAGCGCGAGCUCAUGGAAAUCGCAAAAAUAACGCCCCAGUUCAGAUCGGAGGCUGCAACUCGCCUCCGU
rnacentral:rRNA from 1 species